rnacentral:rRNA from 2 species
GGUGAGUAACACGUGGGCAACCUGCCUGUAAGAUCGGGAUAACGCCGGGAAACCGGGGCUAAUACCGGAUAGUUUUUUCCUCCGCAUGGAGGAAAAAGGAAAGACGGCUUCGGCUGUCACUUACAGAUGGGCCCGCGGCGCAUUAGCUAGUUGGUGGGGUAACGGCUCACCAAGGCAACGAUGCGUAGCCGACCUGAGAGGGUGAUCGGCCACAUUGGGACUGAGACACGGCCCAAACUCCUACGGGAGGCAGCAGUAGGGAAUCUUCCGCAAUGGACGAAAGUCUGACGGAGCAACGCCGCGUGAGUGAAGAAGGCCUUCGGGUCGUAAAACUCUGUUGCCGGGGAAGAACAAGUGCCGUUCGAACAGGGCGGCGCCUUGACGGUACCCGGCCAGAAAGCCACGGCUAACUACGUGCCAGCAGCCGCGGUAAUACGUAGGUGGCAAGCGUUGUCCGGAAUUAUUGGGCGUAAAGCGCGCGCAGGCGGCUUCUUAAGUCUGAUGUGAAAUCUUGCGGCUCAACCGCAAGCGGUCAUUGGAAACUGGGAGGCUUGAGUGCAGAAGAGGAGAGUGGAAUUCCACGUGUAGCGGUGAAAUGCGUAGAGAUGUGGAGGAACACCAGUGGCGAAGCGGCUCUCUGGUCUGUAACUGACGCUGAGCGCGAAAGCGUGGGGAGCAACAGGAUUAGAUNCCCUGGUAGUCCACGCC